rnacentral:rRNA from 1 species
UACAGAGGGUGCGAGCGUUGUCCGGAAUCACUGGGCGUAAAGGGCGAGUAGGCGGCUUUUCAAGCGUGUGGUGAAAGCUCGGGGCUCAACCCCGAGUCGGCCAUGCGAACUGGGAGGCUUGAGCACGGUAGAGGCACAUGGAAUUCCGGGUGUAGCGGUGGAAUGCGUAGAGAUCCGGAGGAACACCGGUGGCGAAGGCGGUGUGCUGGGCCGUAGCUGACGCUGAAUCGCGACAGCGUGGGGAGCAAACAGG